rnacentral:rRNA from 1 species
UUAGAGUGCUUAAAGCAGGCUAAAACUUCGCCUGAAUAAUGCGUGCAUGGAAUAAUGAAACAGGACCUCGGUUCUAUUUUGUUGGUUUUCGGAACCCCGAGGUAAUGAUUAACAGGAACGGAUGGGGGCAUUCGUAUUGCGACGUUAGAGGUGAAAUUCUUGGAUCGUCGCAAGACGGACAGAAGCGAAAGCAUUUGACCUAAAAACGUUUUCAUUGAUCAAGAACGAAAGUUAGAGGUUCGAAGGCGAUCAGAUACCGCCUAGUUCUAACCAUAACGAUGCCAGCUAGCGAUCCGCCGACGUUCCUCCGACUGACUCGGCGGGCGAGGCUUCCGGGAACCGAAAGGACUUUAGGUUUCCGGGGGUAAGGUAGUGGUUGCAAAGCUGAAACUUAAAGGAAUUGACGGAAGGGCACCACCAGGAGUGGAGCCUGCGGCUUAAUUUGACUCAACACGGGAAACCUCACCAGGCCCAGACACCGGAAGGAUUGACAGAUUGAGAGCUCUUUCUUGAUUCGGUGGGUGGUGGUGCAUGGCCGUUCUUAGUUGGUGGAGCGAUUUGUCUGGUUAAUUCCGAUAACGAACGAGACUCUAGCCUGACUAACGUAGGCGUAUUAGACAUCCUAAAGGCCCGCCGGCUCGUCGGGUCGGCGUCGGUUUUACUGUCUGCGUACAUUAUAUUCUUCUU